rnacentral:rRNA from 1 species
AGAGUUUGAUCCUGGCUCAGGAUGAACGCUAGCGACAGGCUUAACACAUGCAAGUCGAGGGGCAGCACAGGUAGCAAUACCGGGUGGCGACCGGCGCACGGGUGAGUAACGCGUAUGCAACUUACCUAUCAGAGGGGGAUAACCCGGCGAAAGUCGGACUAAUACCGCAUGAAGCAGGGGCCCCGCAUGGGGAUAUUUGCUAAAGAUUCAUCGCUGAUAGAUAGGCAUGCGUUCCAUUAGGCAGUUGGCGGGGUAACGGCCCACCAAACCGACGAUGGAUAGGGGUUCUGAGAGGAAGGUCCCCCACAUUGGUACUGAGACACGGACCAAACUCCUACGGGAGGCAGCAGUGAGGAAUAUUGGUCAAUGGGCGUAAGCCUGAACCAGCCAAGUCGCGUGAGGGAUGAAGGUUCUAUGGAUCGUAAACCUCUUUUAUAAGGGAAUAAAGUGCGGGACGUGUCCCGUUUUGUAUGUACCUUAUGAAUAAGGAUCGGCUAACUCCGUGCCAGCAGCCGCGGUAAUACGGAGGAUCCGAGCGUUAUCCGGAUUUAUUGGGUUUAAAGGGUGCGUAGGCGGCCUUUUAAGUCAGCGGUGAAAGUCUGUGGCUCAACCAUAGAAUUGCCGUUGAAACUGGGGGGCUUGAGUAUGUUUGAGGCAGGCGGAAUGCGUGGUGUAGCGGUGAAAUGCAUAGAUAUCACGCAGAACCCCGAUUGCGAAGGCAGCCUGCCAAGCCAUUACUGACGCUGAUGCACGAAAGCGUGGGGAUCAAACAGGAUUAGAUACCCUGGUAGUCCACGCAGUAAACGAUGAUCACUAGCUGUUUGCGAUACAGUGUAAGCGGCACAGCGAAAGCGUUAAGUGAUCCACCUGGGGAGUACGCCGGCAACGGUGAAACUCAAAGGAAUUGACGGGGGCCC